UACGGAGGGUGCAAGCGUUAUCCGGAUUCACUGGGUUUAAAGGGUGCGUAGGCGGUCUUAUAAGUCAGUGGUGAAAUACGGCAGCUCACUGUCGAGGUGCCAUUGAUACUGUAGGACUUGAGUACAGACGAGGUAGGCGGAAUUGACGGUGUAGCGGUGAAAUGCUUAGAUAUCGUCAAGAACACCGAUAGCGAAGGCAGCUUACUAGGCUGUAACUGACGCUGAGGCACGAAAAGUGUGGGGGAUCAAACAGG
rnacentral:rRNA from 1 species